UUAACUGUUAAAUGGUUAGAUCGUGGUGCUAAUAACGCCAAGGUCAAGGGUUCGAUUCCCAUACGGGCCAAA